rnacentral:rRNA from 1 species
GAUGAACGCUGGCGGCGUGCCUAAUACAUGCAAGUCGAGCGAACAGACGAUGAGCUUGCUCCUUUGACGUUAGCGGCGGACGGGUGAGUAACACGUGGAUAACCUACCUAUAUUACUGGGAUAAUUUCGGGAAACCGGCUCUAAUACCGUAUAACAUGUUGCACCGCAUGGUUCAACAGUGAAAGUCGGCCUUUCUGUCACUUCUAGCUGCUUCCGCGCCGCAUUAUCUAGUUGGUAGGGUAACGGCGUACCAAGGCGACGAUGCGUAGCCGACCUGAGAGGGUGAUAGGCCACACUGGAACUGAGACACGGUCAAGACUCCUAAGGGAGGCAGCAGAAGGGAAUGGUAGGCAAUGGGCGAAAGCAUGACGGAGCAAGGCGGCGUGAGUGAAGAAGGUCUUCGGAUCGUAAAAACCUGUUAUUAGGGAAGAACAGAUGUGGAAGGAAAUGUGCACGGCUUGACGGUACCUAAUCAAAAAGCCACGGCUAACUACGUG